AUGGCCUGGGCUCUGCUCCUCCUCACGCUCCUCACUCAGGGCUCAGGGUCCUGGGCCCAGUCUCCCCUGACUCAGCCUUCCUCCGUGUCUGACUCACUUGGAAAGUCGGUCACCAUCUCCUGUGCUGGAAGCAGCAAUGACAUUGGAGGAACUAGUUAUGUCUCCUGGUACCAACAGCGCCCAGGCACAGCCCCUAAACUCCUGAUUUAUUAUGUAAAUGAACGGCCCUCAGGAAUCCCUGAGCGCUUCUCUGGCUCCAAGUCUGGCAACACGGCCACCCUGACCAUCUCUGGGCUCCAGGCUGACGACGANCCUGAGCGCUUCUCUGGCUCCAAGUCUGGCAACACGGCCACCCUGACCAUCUCUGGGCUCCAGGCUGAGGACGAGGCCGAUUAUUACUGUGGCUCAUAUAGCAGUGGUAGCACUCGGCACAGUGACUCAAGUUCAUGGGGAAGUGAGACCAAAAGCUGCCCUGUGCUCACAGGCUCCGUGUUGCUCUGA